AGAGUUUGAUCAUGGCUCAGGAUGAACGCUAGCGACAGGCUUAACACGUGCAAGUCGAGGGGCAGCACGGGAGUAGCAAUACUUGGUGGCGACCGGCGCACGGGUGAGUAACGCGUAUGCAACCUACCUAUCAGAGGGGAAUAACCCGGCGAAAGUCGGACUAAUACCGCAUAAAACAGGGGCACCGCAUGGUGAUAUUUGUUAAAGAAAUUCGCUGAUAGAUGGGCAUGCGUUCCAUUAGGUAGUUGGUGAGGUAACGGCUCACCAAGCCGACGAUGGAUAGGGGAACUGAGAGGUUGGUCCCCCACACUGGUACUGAGACACGGACCAGACUCCUACGGGAGGCAGCAGUGAGGAAUAUUGGUCAAUGGGGCGGGAGCCUGAACCAGCCAAGUCGCGUGAAGGGAAAAGAAGGAUCUAUGGUUCGUAAACUUCUUUUGCAGGGGAAUAAAGUGCAGGACGUGUCCUGUUUUGUAUGUACCCUGAGAAUAAGGAUCGGCUAACUCCGUGCCAGCAGCUGC
rnacentral:rRNA from 1 species